rnacentral:rRNA from 1 species
CGGCCGCGUCGACGCAAGUCGAGCGCAAAGAUCAGGAGCUUGCUCCUGUGAUUUGAGCGGCGGACGGGUGAGUAACACGUAGGCAACCUACCCUUGAGAUUGGGAUAACUACCGGAAACGAUAGCUAAUACCGCAUACAAUGGAUGACACAUGUCAUUUAUUUUGUAAAGGGGCGAAUUGCUCCACUACAAGAUGGACCUGCGUUGUAUUAGCUAGUAGGUGAGGUAACGGCGUCACCUACGGCGACGAUACAUAGCCGACCUCGAGAGGGUGGAUCGGCCACACUCGGGACGUGAGACACGGCCCACGACUCCUACGGGAGGGCAGCAGUAGGGAAGUACUUCGGUCGAAUAGGGGGCGAACCCUACGACCGACGCAACGCCGCGUGAGUGAAGAAGGUUUUCGGAUCGUAAAGCUCUGUUGUAAGUCAAG